UCAUUGCUUUAGACCGAACCGCUUCAGCCCCUGGAUGGCGAUCUCAUGCGAGCCGAGAGCGCAUCAGCUCCAACUUCCCUCGUUCUCUAAACACAUGAAGCCGUCACUUUCACACUUGAUUAAUAGCAAAUGGACUAAGCUGGCUGCCAGAGACCGCUUUGCCAAACACCAGAGGAGAAACGCUACAUGUUCUGCUGCUCUUUCUUUCGUCUUCCAGGAGUGUGUGUUCAGCUCCGAGGACUGAAGGAGAGCAGGGAUGGGGAGAAGGAGCUCGGAUGCGGCUCGGAGGUUGGGAGUGAGUCUUCAGUGCCUUGGAUUUAUUGUCGUCUGCUCAGAUUUCCAGGAUAAAAUAGACGCAGGCUGAGAAAUGCUAUCAGCUGAGUCCAAGACAAGAGGAAUGAUUGGGAAUUUUAACUAUUUUUAUAGAUAGAAGAAAGAAAGAACGAAAUGUGUAUUAAUUACAUCAUGUAACAAGACAAUAAUUCUUUAGAUAGGUAGAUAGAAGAAAGUUUUGUAUCAAGGAAGGACACAAAUUUAGAAAGAAAGAAAGAAAGAAAGAAAGAAAAGAAAAAGAAAGAAAGAGCACCACCUGGUUGGACAAGUUGCUACUGCCAUCACUUACACUCAAAACAUUCACAUGUUUAGUUUCAACAUUGUCUUGAUUUACAUUUUAGGGGUCAUGUGACGUUUUCAAAUAAUUCAGUAUUAUAUUCUAUCAUCAAGGCUUUAUUUGUCCACAGUGUAUUCAAUAUUAUGGACACAGAGGACAGUUUAAAAGCUCUUCAAAAUGGCUUGCUGUUCUCCCAUAGACAGCUCUCUGAUCUUCACGAUGGCUUAUCCUUUUUAACAACAAAUGCGGGCUUCAUAGGUGAAAGUGAAGACUAAAACCAGGACUAGAUGUUCAGAGCUAUUUAUUGUUCAAAGAAUCAAUCUAAUGGGACACACCUGGUUAACAAGAAACACCUGUCAGUCACAUGUUCCAACAUUUUUGCUGCAGUAUUGGCCUUGCAAUUCCAGUAGUUUAGACACGGACAGUAUCUGCAUGUGUGCAUGUAUGCUUGUCUCUCGUCACACUGUAUGAGUGUGUAUUUCUGACUCUGUAUUAAAUAUCUGUAAAUAAACUCCAGUGCUUCACACGUUCCUGUGUUUGACCUUUGAACUGAAGCAAACAAGUGUGCUUACAGCGGCGCCGAUUUACAACUCGCCAUCAAAUGUUUCUCUAAACCGCAUUCCAAAUUUACAAGCCCCUUUCGGCUUUAUGAAAUAUGAAAAGAUGAAAUUACCUUUUGAAAUCCUUUUUGUGACUACAUUGUUAGAAUGAAUUCUAAUUCUGACAUCCCGUUCCUCUCUUCUCCACGAAUAGCUGGUGUGUGGUGGGUGUUCUGGCGCACUCUGGCUGCUGUCGCAUCAUCCAGGUGGAUGCUACACACUGGUGGUGGAUGAUGAGAUUUCCCCCAUACAAUGAAAAGCGCUUUGAGUGUGUAGAAAAGCACUAUAUAAAUGUAACUGUAACUAACUAACUAACUAUCUCUCUCUCUCUCUCUCUCUCUCUCUCUCUCUCUCACACACUCUCACUCUCUCUCUCUCUCUCCAACACAAAUUAGCUUUAGUCCUGCAGGGCAAAAUGACAAGAGGUUACUGGAAGACUAUGUGUUUAAUUAAUUGAAAAAUGCUUAAAUUGCUUUUACAGUUGUUAUCAGAGGUGGAAAAAAAAAGAAAAGGGAGAGUGUGAGGGGAAAAAAAGGAAUCUGUGUUGCCAGUGCUGGGGCAUAAUUAGCUCCCUGGGGAGACGGAUAUUUAGCUUUAGCAAUGUUGCAGCACUUAGGACACAGAUUUCUAUUUCGGUAAUGAAGGGCCGGGCUUUCCAGGGAGGACAGCUGUAGUUUGGUGUGGGUUGAAGGGA